GGGGUUGUAGCUCAGUGAUAGAGCACUUGCAUAGCCUGUAUGAGGCACUGGGUUCGAUCCCCAGCACCAUCU
rfam:Ictidomys tridecemlineatus contig059900, whole genome shotgun sequence.